rnacentral:rRNA from 1 species
UACGUAGGGUGCGAGCGUUGUCCGGAAUUAUUGGGCGUAAAGAGCUCGUAGGCGGUCUGUCGCGUCUGCUGUGAAAACCCGAGGCUCAACCUCGGGCCUGCAGUGGGUACGGGCAGACUAGAGUGCGGUAGGGGAGAAUGGAAUUCCUGGUGUAGCGGUGGAAUGCGCAGAUAUCAGGAGGAACACCGGUGGCGAAGGCGGUUCUCUGGGCAUUACCUGACGCUGAGGAGCGAAAGCAUGGGGAGCGAACAGG